rnacentral:rRNA from 1 species
GAGUUUGAUCCUGGCUCAGAUUGAACGCUAGCGGAAUGCCUUACACAUGCAAGUCGAACGGCAGCACGGACUUCGGUCUGGUGGCGAGUGGCGAACGGGUGAGUAAUGUAUCGGAACGUGCCCAGUAGCGGGGGAUAACUACGCGAAAGCGUAGCUAAUACCGCAUACGCCCUACGGGGAAAGGGGGGAUCGUAAGACCUCUCACUAUUGGAGCGGCCGAUAUCGGAUUAGCUAGUUGGUGGGGUAAAGGCUCACCAAGGCGACGAUCCGUAGCUGGUUUGAGAGGACGACCAGCCACACUGGGACUGAGACACGGCCCAGACUCCUACGGGAGGCAGCAGUGGGGAAUUUUGGACAAUGGGGGAAACCCUGAUCCAGCCAUUCCGCGUGUGCGAUGAAGGCCUUCGGGUUGUAAAGCACUUUUGGCGGGAAAGAAAUCGGUCGAGAUAAUACCUUGAUCGGAUGACGGUACCCGCAGAAUAAGCACCGGCUAACUACGUG